rnacentral:rRNA from 1 species
AUGCCCUAUGAUGAGCGGUACACACCCUACAUCCAGCAGGCAGGACUCCUCCCAUGGAUUCUGUUGGUCAGCCGGUCCAUGCCGAACCUCAGUGCUCCACUGGUGUCCUCUCUUGUUGAUUGGUGGAGGCCCGAGACGCACAGUUUCUAUCUUCGGACUGGGGAGAUGACCGUGACGCUCGAGGAUGUCUCCUUGAUCACCGGUCUUCCCAUCGACGGGAGG